rnacentral:rRNA from 1 species
GAUGAACGCUAGCGGCAGGCCUAACACAUGCAAGUCGAGGGGUAACAGUUCCGAGCAAUCGGAAGCUGACGACCGGCGCACGGGUGCGUAACGCGUAUGCAACCUACCUCUGACUGGAGGAUAGCCCGGAGAAAUCCGGAUUAAUACUCCAUAACAUCAUUCUAGGGCAUCCUUUAAUGAUUAAAGUUUUAAUGGUCAGAGAUGGGCAUGCGUGACAUUAGCUAGUUGGUGAGGUAACGGCUCACCAAGGCAACGAUGUCUAGGGGUUCUGAGAGGAUUGUCCCCCACACUGGUACUGAGACACGGACCAGACUCCUACGGGAGGCAGCAGUGAGGAAUAUUGGUCAAUGGACGCAAGUCUGAACCAGCCAUGCCGCGUGCAGGAUGACGGCCCUAUGGGUUGUAAACUGCUUUUAUACGGGAAGAAACCUUCGCACGUGUGCGGAGCUGACGGUACCGUAAGAAUAAGCACCGGCUAACUCCGU